CUUGAGGGAGCCGAGCCACAACGGCCGGUCCGCCUGCCGGUCCUGGCCGUAGACGGCGAUGAGGGCCUGCGCCUC
rnacentral:antisense_RNA from 1 species